rnacentral:rRNA from 1 species
CACGUAGGGGGCAAGCGUUGUCCGGAAUCAUUGGGCGUAAAGAGCUCGUAGGCGGCUCAGUAAGUCGGGUGUGAAACCUCCAGGCUCAACCUGGAGACGCCACCCGAUACUGCUGUGGCUAGAGUCCAGUAGGGGAGUGUGGAAUUCCCGGUGUAGCGGUGAAAUGCGCAGAUAUCGGGAGGAACACCAGCGGCGAAGGCGGCACUCUGGGCUGGUACUGACGCUGGAGGAGCGAAAGCGUGGGGAGCAAACAGG